AUACGGAGGAUCCAAGCGUUAUCCGGAUUUAUUGGGUUUAAAGGGUGCGUAGGCGGACUGGUAAGUCAGCUGUGAAAGUUUGCGGCUUGACCGUAAAAUUGCAGUUGAUACUGUCAGUCUUGAGGGUGCAUGAGGUGGGCGGAAUUUGUGGUUGAGCGGUGAAAUGCUUAGAUAUCCCGAGGAACGCCAAUUGCGAAGGCAGCUCACUGGGGCAUAACUGACGAUGAUGCGCGAAGGUGUGGGUAUCAAACAGGAUUAGAUACCCUGGUAGUCCACACAGUAAACUAUUAAUACUCGCUGUUUGCUAUAUACAGUAAGCGGCCAAGCGAAAGCAUUAAGUAUUCCACCUGGGGAGUACGCCGGCGACGGUGAAACUCAAAUGAAUUGACGGGG
rnacentral:rRNA from 1 species